UUAAUGCACCCCACAUCUCUCGGUAAUUACAAAAUUUCUGCAAAUCUUCCAAAAUGAAAUUUCUGGUAAUUUCUUAUUUGGUAAACUACGAAUGAACAACAAAGAACAAUGAAUUGGUAAAAUACACAUUUUGGAAUACUCAAUCUCUCAUAUUAUUGCUUAUCCACAAUCAAAUCACACAAUUGUAACAAUGAACAACAAAGAACAAUGAAUCAACAAGAACAAAUGAAAUUAGAAUCUUCGCUCACAUCCCUCAGAUUAUAAUCGCACCCUUCACAGUCUCAUAGCGAAUGAAUCAACAUGCCUUGCUCUGUAACCGCUCCUCAUAUUUAUAGAUGCCUCUGAUACUUGCUUAUUUCACAAGCUUCCCUCUGUUUCCUCACGUGCCUUGCACA